GAUUUGACGCCUGCGAGUGACGACGAAGCCUCAUCGUUUUGGUUAGAAGUUCCCAAACUGCCGUGAACUGUGGUAUGAGCGAUAUAAUAA